AUUAUAGUGAAAAUAGAUGAUUCCCCUUUUUGCUGAGGACCACCUGGAACACCCCUGAAGGACCCCUGCUACACCCCUGAAGGACCCCUGCUACAUUGAUAAUUUUGGCUGUUCCUGGCAAAGGGACUCCUGUCAUCUGAGCUGAGAAGAGAAGCCAACACAUGAGAUAAUGGCGUGGCUGCCCACUUAACUGUGGCAAUGAUGACAAAUUCAACCUGCAAAGGCCAGUCAGAGAAUGCAUUUUGCACCAACAAGCGGCAAUGGCGGAGAAGACCCCCAACUAGAUGUGAGGUCCCACCCGCUAACGGGACAGCCAGUAUACUUGGCAGCAUCAAGUCUGCUGCUGUUCCAAUUGCAGAAUGAUGGACUGCGUGCGUCCCUGGAAGUUUGUACUCCCGAGUUGAACUUGCCAAGUCUGAACUUCUAUUUACAGAAGUCGGAACUUGGUAUUGAGAAAGAGCCACAGUAAGAGACGAGCUGGAGAACAUAAUGGAGGAUUUAUCAGUUAGAGCCAGAUAUUUCCCCUAGGAGUUGGUGGAAACUGAAAACAUGGAAAUGUUCUGUAUCAACAUUUUGAUGACUCACCAGGAUUGUUCAUUUAAAGUGUUUUCUCACACUUCAACAUUUCUCUCUGAAUGUAUUUGUUGUUGGAAUUUAGCAGAAUAGAAACAGGGACAGGUUUGUAUUUAACUUGCAUCCUUCACAGUCUCUCUACUCUUUGCUGAAACUGCAGUAUGAGAAGCUUUCAGACCAAAACCCUGACUGAUGAUUGAGUUUUAUUGGAUUUCCUUUAGGGUUCCUCGUUUCACCUCAUGUCUCCUUUAAUGUUCUUCUGUAAAUGACUCCUUCAUAAAGUGGUUUGGUUCCAAGAAUGUUUUUAUAUUGUGUAUACAUCAAGUUUGAAGAAAUGGGAACGGUAAGCUAAGCUCAGCUGUUUCCAAAGUGGAGAAGUAAACCUUUUUAAAUUCUCCAAACAUGGACGUUCAGAAACAGAGACGUCUGAUCUCACAUGGCUGCCAGACUCUGUUGUUGUUGCUGCUUCAGAUUGUUUACAGCGUCCAACCUGCAGUCUCUAUUCUGGGUUUGAUCCUCUGUGAUGAGACCAUAAGUCCAUCCAGCGUCCUAACCUUCUUGUGGAGAGAAAUAUGAGACAGAAGUAGAAUUGCACAACAGAGUAUGGUAAAAUGGUAAAAGUGAUCUGAUAAUGUUUGGUUUUUAUUUUUUCUCCCUGUGGUUUUUCAAGUUUAUUUCUGCAUGACUGAUGUUGCUCCCUCAGCUGCAAUAACAGUAAGCAAAGGGUGACUGAUUAA